GUAAUUACGUGUGUUCUACAACA
rnacentral:siRNA from 1 species